rnacentral:lncRNA from 1 species
CAGGGAUGUGGUCCACAGGCUAGGAGAGGGCUGGGUCCUUAGGGUCUCACAGGGUCAAAAUGGAGGCAGAUGCUGGAUGGCGCGCUUAUCUGGACGUCCUUGAGAAGAAGAAUCAGCUUUCGACCUCCUUCAGGCUGUUGACAGAAUUCAGAUCCUGUGGCUGGUGAGGACGGAGGACCCCUUCCUUGCUGGCUGUCAGGAUGCAGGUUCCCAGGUACUGCUACAAGGCUGAUGGAGAAAGGGAUGGCAACAGGAGCGUCAGACAAAGAAGCUCAUUCUAUAGACCCAGCAGGGCCAGCACUGACCAACAGAUGACCAGGCAAUUUGAAAGGAAGAGAGGAUUUAGGCGCCAUACUCAAGGUUACCUGGGUAAGAAAUGAUGGAGCAAGAAUGUCACCCAUGGGACCACACCCCUUAUAAAUUGGAGUGUUUCUGCAAAUUCUAAGAGGUUCUUAACAUUAUCCAGAAUGGUGCCCUGGUGGACGAUCAUGCACCUUGCUGGCGAGGCGCUUUCUUCAGGUCCAUAAAUGCUUGCUGUGAGUGAAGAACUGAAGAACUGUCCUAUUUGCAUUCUAACCACAAAAAAGCUAGAGGACUCAGGAGUUAGAGUUGCUUUGAUCUACACAUAUUCUUGUUGCUUCUAUCCCUUUCUAAUGCUACAGAUUGCACUGAUGCAGUGAAGCACUGCCAAAUCAACGUGGUUAGGAAAGCAGAAGAGCAAAUUAACAGAAGUCUCCUUACAGUAUGACCACACAACAGGAGAAAUUGCAAAACAUUAACUAAAGUUAAAAAGUGGUCGAACUAGCAUGUGCACAUAAACAUCUUAUUAUUUAACAAAAAAUAAAUUUACCCCUAGGAAUACCUGGGUCUUCAUCAUUAUAGUGUCUCUGAAAUUACAAAGUAAGGGAAAUAAAGACAAAGGUCUGAUUGGAAGCUGCAAAUACAAUGGGUGUAGCCAAUAUGGUCAUGAGGUGCCGCACAGCCCAAAGAGCC